CCUACGGGAGGCAGCAGUGAGGAAUAUUGGUCAAUGGGCGCAAGGCUGAACCAGCCAAGUCGCGUGAAGGAAGAAGGAUCUAUGGUUUGUAAACUUCUUUUAUAGGGGAAUAAAGGUAUCCACGUGUGGAUAUUUGCAUGUACCCUAUGAAUAAGCAUCGGCUAACUCCGUGCCAGCAGCCGCGGUAAUACGGAGGAUGAGAGGGUUAUCCGGAUUUACUGGGUUGAAAGGGUGCGUAGGUUGUUGUUUAAGUCAGCGGUGAAAGUUUGUGGCUCAACCAUAAAAUUGCCGUUGAAACUGGAAGACUUGAGUGUGUUUGAGGUAGGCGGAAUGCGUGGUGUAGCGGUGAAAUGCAUAGAUAUCACGCAGAACUCCGAUUGCGAAGGCAGCUUACUAAGCCAUAACUGACACUGAAGCACGAAAGCGUGGGGAUCAAACAGGAUUAGAUACCCGUGUAGUC
rnacentral:rRNA from 1 species